rnacentral:rRNA from 1 species
ACACAUGCAAGUCGAGCGAAGCACUUUGCUUAGAUUCUUCGGAUGAAGAGGAUUGUGACUGAGCGGCGGACGGGUGAGUAACGCGUGGGUAACCUGCCUCAUACAGGGGGAUAACAGUUAGAAAUGACUGCUAAUACCGCAUAAGACCACAGCACCGCAUGGUGCGGGGGUAAAAACUCCGGUGGUAUGAGAUGGACCCGCGUCUGAUUAGCUAGUUGGUAAGGUAACGGCUUACCAAGGCGACGAUCAGUAGCCGACCUGAGAGGGUGACCGGCCACAUUGGGACUGAGACACGGCCCAAACUCCUACGGGAGGCAGCAGUGGGGAAUAUUGCACAAUGGGGGAAACCCUGAUGCAGCGACGCCGCGUGAGCGAAGAAGUAUUUCGGUAUGUAAAGCUCUAUCAGCAGGGAAGAAAAUGACGGUACCUGACUAAGAAGCACCGGCUAAAUACGUGCCAGCAGCCGCGGUAAUACGUAUGGUGCAAGCGUUAUCCGGAUUUACUGGGUGUAAAGGGAGCGUAGACGGAUGGGCAAGUCUGAUGUGAAAACCCGGGGCUCAACCCCGGGACUGCAUUGGAAACUGUUCAUCUAGAGUGCUGGAGAGGUAAGUGGAAUUCCUAGUGUAGCGGUGAAAUGCGUAGAUAUUAGGAGGAACACCAGUGGCGAAGGCGGCUUACUGGACAGUAACUGACGUUGAGGCUCGAAAGCGUGGGGAGCAAACAGGAUUAGAUACCCUGGUAGUCCACGCCGUAGACGAUGACUACUAGGUGUCGGG